rnacentral:rRNA from 1 species
AUGGAGGUGCUGCUGUUCUGCUACGCCAACCUCAUCCUACAGCCCUCCGUCGCCCCACUAGCAAGCUGCAAGGGGCACAAUGCUAGUAGGCAAGCUAGCACACAUGGAUUCGUGAACUGGCUUGGAUGUGUUCUUGGUCGUCUGGGUUGGAUGAGGACGAUGGAAACGAUGUCUUCCUCACCGGCGAUGGCAGGAGCGCAUGAUAGACUUCUAAAUGGACAAGUAUCUGCAACGUUCAGUGUCAAUGAUGAUGCUUACCAGAUAUUCUACUGUAGCCCCAUCCAUAUCAUCGACGUGAAGUCAGAUCUACUCGUCCUGAAAUUGAUGGCCUGA